AGAGAUUAAACUGAAGAGUUUGAUCCUGGCUCAGAUUGAACGCUGGCGGCAUGCCUUACACAUGCAAGUCGAAC
rnacentral:rRNA from 1 species